AGUCCGCGUCGGAGUUUCGAUCGGGCUCCGAAACGGGUUAACUUAGUUAGGUGGCUUCCUGGACAUUGUUGUAGUGAAGGAGAGUGCGUGUCGUGAUAUCCACCUGUCGUAAGUGGGUUGAGCGUGCGUGUGGGCACAUUUGGGCACCCCUGCAUGGUUACAAUCUUAUCAAUAAGCCGUGUCCGCGGUUAUGUACGACUUGGAGCUGUAUGACUCGACCAUAGACAACUUACACCUGUUGUUUCAAUACUAAUAACUUGCGUAGUAAGAUAGAACAACUCAAAUAAUAACUGGUUAAAACUUGAAAACCGUGUGAGUGCCUUUGUAAGUACUUCUUUGCGAAGGGGGAACGCAUCGAGCUGUGUUAUGUUUGCAGAGUAUAGAACUGUUAGUUUUUGCGCUCUCUCAUCUCCUCUGAUUAGACGAAUGUUGUAGAUUGUCUCUAUAGGUUUUUAGUGCUUACGCGCUGCCGCUUAACCCCACCAUAUUGCCUAUGACACUCUUGCGUCCUCUAAGUCCCCUGCGUGCCUCAAGUACAAAGGACGACUGGUUGACGAAUGCUUAUACGUCUUGAAGUCUUGUUAAGUACGAACUCGUACUUAUUGCUGCUUCUACGGGAUAUAACCGGGCAGGUAUGAAGAUAUGUUCGAUGAAGACGAGUUAGCAAGGUUACCCUUCCGGCUUGGCCUGGGCAGGGUUAUGGACGCCACUGGUUAUCUUCAGGACUCUUAGUCCAAUUUGUAUCUUGUCCGUACUCGGACGUAUUUGAUCUUCUGUAUGAUUCAGAUCUUUGUAUUGUAUAUUUGUAUCUUGACUCGUUGGAGUCGUUGUUGUAUAUAUGUAUCUUGUGGGCUCUAUUGUAAUCCUGUUGUAAUGUUACCGCUCGUGUUAAUUCCUCUGGCAUCACGUGUGUGAUUCGUCGCGCACGUCGUGUCGGAGGGCGUCUCUGGAUCGAUAUCGUGCGGAUUUCGGCGGGUUCGCUGGGAUCCUCAUGGUACCAGUUCCGGGGCGUCACAAGUUGGUAUCAGAGCCUCAGGUUGACGGUACCCACUAGUCCAGCCUGUAGGAUAACCUUGCCAAUGGUCAUUGAGUUUAGAGCGUCCAAAACUAUUUUCCAAAAUUCGUUGGAUAGAUCUGAUUAGCUCUGAUUUUUCUCCUUACCUCUGUUCUUUCUCCUCGUACCUUUGCGAGUUUUGAGUCUUCUCUCUUAUCUGAGUUUCUCCGAGUCUUAGGUUCCGACGCGGGUUGGACGAUCUUUGCCCCUCACCUAAUAGGUUCGAUCUUCGGAGGAUCCGACAGAAGCGCAUCAUCAACAGCGGAACAACGACUUCUUGUUAGUGGUGUCGACCUUCCUUCAUGGAGCAAGAAUUCUUGUUAGUGGUGUCGAGAAGAUCAACACAUCGCCAGAAGAAGGUUCCACCUCGAGGUCGGGUGAUUGUCAACAUGGUACAAGAAGACUCGAUAGUUUAACCAACUUCCCCUUGGCUUGACGUGGAACCUCGGGGCGAGGUUCCUUGUUAGUGGUGUCGAUUGUAACGGCCCCGGGUAGUACCCCUAUUAGAUUUGUUUGUUCUUUUCAUUUUGUGCAUCAUCAUGCAUCAUGCAUCAUAUCAUCCAUGUUUUAACAAAAUAAAACUAUUUUAUAAAACCCUAAAUAUUUUAUUCCCCUCUCAUAUGGUUUCUAUAUGUAAACCCUCCCUAGUGUCUAUUCUUAUUUAUCAAAAUCCCAAACCAAAUAGUUUGAAAAAUAAAAAUUGCAAAGCUAUUUUCAAAUCCAAAUACAAGGUUUAGUUUCUGAAAACGUUGCACUGGCGUGUCUUCAUCCUUCUUUCCAUCUCCCUAUCUUUGAAGUCUUGAAGGGCCGAGUGUGUACAUCUUUUGAUCCAUAAUGUUUGAGCCCAAGAAAAAUCGCCACCGAAUCAGCAGCCAGAGCCCACCCACUCUAAUCCUCCUUGGCAUAUUCUCUUCUUCCUGUACGGCAUGGUGGAAGUGCCUCCACGUCGCCUCCCUACUGAUGGACACCGACGCCUCCUUCACUAUAAAAAACCAGCAGCUGCUGUCCCAUCCAACCCUAGCUCUGUUUCUUCCCCUACCGCCGCCGCUCCCUUCCUUUUCUUCCUCCUGCCAGCAGUCAGCACACGCGCUCCGCGUCCGGCGGCAACCGCUCGUCGCCGUCCUCUUCCACAAGCGCACGCAGCAGCCUCCGUCGUCGCCGCCUCAGGCAUCACUUCGUCCCCGUCGACUUCGCCUCCGCAAGUUCGUCCUCGAACCGCGACCUUCUGCGUUCGUGCGUGUAUCCACCUGCAACGUCUUCGCCGGCGCUCGCCUCCGCCAAGAUCGUCGUCCGCCGGCAGCACUUAUCGCCGUUCCUCCGUUCUCCGUCGCGCGGCCAUGCGGUGCGUCCUCGCACGAGACGCGGACCAGAGGCCGUCUCCGACCGCGUUUCUCUUCACUGCGAGCUCACCCUGGGCCGCUCUGUUCCACGUCGCCGGCAUCAGCAUCCUCGACGCAAACAUCCUCGACCUGCCUGCCCGCUUCUCCGGCCCCAGGAUCGUCCGCCCUUCGUCUUCUACUUCGUCCAGAACGCUGGCCAGCCUCCGCUGCUCGUAGCCGUGCGCCGUCAAGAUCGUCUCCGACAUCCGCGAUCCCGUCGCUAGGAACGCCGUCUCCGGCCGUGUGCGCCUGCAUGCCGCAGCUUCACCUCGCACACAGCAAUCCAAAGCUUAAGCUUUAGUGGGCCCCUUUGUCAGCGUCUACCGGCGCCAAAUCAGCAGCCUCUGACCCGGUCAGCAUGCAGUAACCGUCUGGAUCCGCCUGUCUACCUUGGUGGCCGGCUACUCCCUGGCAUUUGCUUCUUCCCGGAUAGGAUCGCGAAGUGGUGUGGUGAGAUACGACGAGUCCUCCGGAUGUUCUUCGGCAAGCUUUAACAGGCAAG